rnacentral:rRNA from 1 species
AUAUAUAUAUUUAUUUAUUCCUAUUUGUUAAAGAUUCUGAUUUAUGAUAAUUAUUUAUAUUUUUCAUGGCAUCCCCUUUCAUAUUAUUUUACCAAUAAAAUAUUCGUUAGUAUUUAUUAUUAUUUUAUAAUAAUUACUACAUGGAAAACAUAUUACCCAGUCGUUCAUUAUAUAUAUUCGUUUUAUAUAAUUAUAAUAUUAUUUAUACAAUUAUUAUAUUAAGGUUUAGGAAUUUCUAAACUCUAGAAUAAUUUUCAAAUAUAUAUAACUGGGCUUUCGAUUACUAGAAUGAUACUAUUCUAUAUAUUUACUAGCAUGUCCAACUACAACGUUAUAGUAGACUUAUUAACAUCAUUCGAUCACUUUCUGUUUAGACUAAUCGUCUAUCGACCAAAAGAUACUUUAUAUAUAUUCAUAUCGAGAAUUAAUGGAAAAUAAAUUUCUCCUAAUUUUUAUAUAUUAAUAAAAAUUAUUAUAUUAAUAAUAUAGAAAAAUAUAUAUAAUAUACAAAUGUAU